rnacentral:precursor_RNA from 15 species
UUUUAAUUAUCAUCGCCACACUUGUGAACGUGUCUUUUUCCGCUUUGCUGCCGCUGUUCUGUCGUCGCCAGCAGAGAGGAUGAGGCUAGUGCACGAGUUGACCUCACAGCGAAGCCCGGC